rnacentral:tRNA from 1 species
GGAGACGUGGCCGAGAGGCUGAAGGCGGCGGUUUGCUAAACCGUUAUACGCUAUAAAGGCGUAUCGAGGGUUCGAAUCCCUCCGUCUCCGCCA